AUUGAACGCUGGCGGCAUGCCUUACACAUGCAAGUCGAACGGUAACAGGUCUUCGGAUGCUGACGAGUGGCGAACGGGUGAGUAAUACAUCGGAACGUGCCUAGUAGUGGGGGAUAACUACUCGAAAGAGAGGCUAAUACCGUAUGAGAUCUACGGAUGAAAGCAGGGGAUCGCAAGACCUUGUGCUACUAGAGCGGCCGAUGGCAGAUUAGGUAGUUGGUGGGAUAAAAGCUUACCAAGCCGACGAUCUGUAGCUGGUCUGAGAGGACGAUCCGCCACACUGGGACGGAGACACGGCCCAGACUCCUACGGGAGGCAGCAGUGGGGAAUUUUGGACAAUGGGCGAAAGCCUGAUCCAGCAAUGCCGCGUGCAGGAUGAAGGCCUUCGGGUUGUAAACUGCUCUUGUACGGAACGAAAAGCCCCGGGUUAAUACCCUGGGGUCAUGACGGUACCGUAAGAAUAAGCACCGGCUAACUACGUGCCAGCCGCCGCAGUAA
rnacentral:rRNA from 1 species